CCUACGGGAGGCAGCAGUGAGGAAUAUUGGUCAAUGGGCGAGAGCCUGAACCAGCCAAGUCGCGUGAAGGAUGACGGCCCUACGGGUUGUAAACUUCUUUUGUCAGGGAGCAAUUGGGUCCACGCGUGGGCUUAGCGAGAGUACCUGAAGAAAAAGCAUCGGCUAACUCCGUGCCAGCAGCCGCGGUAAUACGGAGGAUGCGAGCGUUAUCCGGAUUUAUUGGGUUUAAAGGGUGCGUAGGCGGAAUAUCAAGUCAGCGGUAAAAAUUCGGGGCUCAACCCCGUCGUGCCGUUGAAACUGAUGUUCUUGAGUGGGCGAGAAGUAUGCGGAAUGCGUGGUGUAGCGGUGAAAUGCAUAGAUAUCACGCAGAACUCCGAUUGCGAAGGCAGCAUACCGGCGCCCAACUGACGCUGAGGCACGAAAGCGCGGGGAUCGAACAGGAUUAGAUACCCCUGUAGUC
rnacentral:rRNA from 1 species